AUAUUGCACAAUGGGCGCAAGCCUGAUGCAGCCAUGCCGCGUGUAUGAAGAAGGCCUUCGGGUUGUAAAGUACUUUAAGUUGGGAGGAAGGGCAGUAAGCGAAUACCUUGCUGUUUUGACGUUACCGACAGAAUAAGCACCGGCUAACUCUGUGCCAGCAGCCGCGGUAAUACAGAGGGUGCAAGCGUUAAUCGGAAUUACUGGGCGUAAAGCGCGCGUAGGUGGUUCGUUAAGUUGGAUGUGAAAUCCCCGGGCUCAACCUGGGAACUGCAUCCAAAACUGGCGAGCUAGAGUAGGGCAGAGGGUGGUGGAAUUUCCUGUGUAGCGGUGAAAUGCGUAGAUAUAAGAAGGAACACCAGUGGCGAAGGCGACCACCUGGGCUCAUACUGACACUGAGGUGCGAAAGCGUGGGGAGCAAAC
rnacentral:rRNA from 1 species